UAUAGAAAGCAUUUUGCCAAGUAUCACAUUCCUGCCUUCAAAGAGCUUUAGAAAAUGGUAGAGAAAAAGCUUCCUGAGAUAGGAAUUCGUUUCAGCAUUUGUUUUCGGACACUCACUAUAGACUUAUGCAAUAUUGGACGAGCUUAGAGAGGCUUACUACUGAUUUGUUUCCUCGACUCUUUCGACCUGACUUUUGUUUUACUUGCUUUUCCUUCCUCUGCAGGGUGAAAGAGGCCUUCCAGGGUUACAAGGUGUCAUUGGGUUUCCGGGAAUGCAAGGACCUGAGGGGCCUCAGGGGCCACCGGGACAAAAGGGUGAUACUGGAGAACCAGGACUGCCAGGAA